ACAUAUAAAGUACCAAAGACAGUAGGAGCAUUUAUGCAUAACUAUUAUUCCUACCGAGGACGAUUAAUAAAACAUGGUUUUAAAGUCUUUGUUUUGGUAUGAACAAAGGCUUUUUAAUUUA
rnacentral:sRNA from 1 species